rnacentral:rRNA from 1 species
GGAUAACUUACCCUUUAGGACUGGGAUAACUCUGGGAAACUGGGGAUAAUACUGGAUAUUAGGCUAUGCCUGGAAUGGUUUGCCUUUGAAAUGUUUUUUUUCGCCUAAGGAUAGGUCUGCGGCUGAUUAGGUCGUUGGUGGGGUAAUGGCCCACCAAGCCGAUGAUCGGUACGGGUUGUGAGAGCAAGGGCCCGGAGAUGGAACCUGAGACAAGGUUCCAGACCCUACGGGGUGCAGCAGGCGCGAAACCUCCGCAAUGUACGAAAGUGCGACGGGGGGAUCCCAAGUGUUAUGCUUUUUUGUAUGACUUUUCAUUAGUGUAAAAAGCUUUUAGAAUAAGAGCUGGGCAAGACCGGUGCCAGCCGCCGCGGUAACACCGGCAGCUCGAGUGGUAGCUGUUUUUAUUGGGCCUAAAGCGUUCGUAGCCGGUUUGAUAAGUCUUUGGUGAAAGCUUGUAGCUUAACUAUAAGAAUUGCUGGAGAUACUAUUAGACUUGAAGUCGGGAAAGGUUAGAGGUACUACCGGGGUAGGGGUGAAAUCCUAUAAUCCUGGGAGGACCACCUGUGGCGAAGGCGUCUAACUGGAACGAUCUUGACGGUGAGUAACGAAAGCCAGGGGCGCGAACCGGAUUAGAUACCCGGGUAGUCCUGGCCGUAAACGAUGUGGACUUGGUGUUGGAAUGGCUUUGAGUUGUUCCGGUGCCGAAGGGAAGCUGUUAAGUCCACCGCCUGGGAAGUACGGUCGCAAGACUGAAACUUAA